rnacentral:tRNA from 1 species
GCUGGGUUGGCUCAGUGGUUAGAGCGUAGGUCUCGUAACCGAAAGGUUGCGGGAUCGAAUCCCGCUAGAGGCU